rnacentral:rRNA from 1 species
CAGGACGAACGCUGGCGGCGUGCCUAAUACAUGCAAGUCGAACGGUCUUUCUAUGGAAGCUUGCUUCCACUGAGAAGAUAGUGGCGAACGGGUGAGUAACACGUGGGUAACCUGCCCAUAAGAGGGGGAUAACAUCCGGAAACGGGUGCUAAUACCGCAUAGUUUUCUUGAUCGCAUGAUCGGGAAAGGAAAGACGGCCUUUGUGCUGUCGCUUAUGGAUGGACCCGCGGCGUAUUAGUUAGUUGGUGAGGUAACGGCUCACCAAGACGAUGAUACGUAGCCGACCUGAGAGGGUGAUCGGCCACAUUGGGACUGAGACACGGCCCAAACUCCUACGGGAGGCAGCAGUAGGGAAUCUUCCGCAAUGGACGAAAGUCUGACGGAGCAACGCCGCGUGAGUGAAAGAAGGUUUUCGGAUCGUAAAACUCUGUUGUCAGAGAAGAACAAGUUGGAGAGUAACUGCUCCAGCCUUGACGGUAUCUGACCAGAAAGCCACGGCUAACUACGUGCCAGCCGCCGC